rnacentral:rRNA from 1 species
AUGGCGGACCGUUUGACCCGUAUCGCGAUCGUGAGCGAGGAUAAGUGCAAGCCCAAGAAGUGCCGCCAGGAGUGCAAGAAGAGCUGCCCCGUUGUCAAGACCGGAAAGCUUUGCAUUGAAGUUAGUCCAGUGGCCAAACUUGCAUUCAUUUCUGAAGAGCUGUGUAUUGGUUGUGGUAUUUGUGUUAAGAAAUGCCCUUUUGAUGCCAUUGAAAUCAUCAAUCUUCCAAAAGAUUUGGAGAAAGAUACUACCCAUCGCUAUGGACCGAAUACCUUCAAAUUGCACAGGUUGCCUGUUCCAAGACCUGGUCAAGUUUUGGGUCUUGUUGGAACCAAUGGAAUUGGGAAGUCAACAGCACUUAAAGUCUUAGCUGGCAAGCUGAAGCCCAAUCUGGGACGAUUCAAAAAUCCACCUGACUGGCAAGAGAUCCUUACAUAUUUCCGUGGGUCUGAACUUCAGAACUAUUUUACGCGCAUAUUGGAGGAUAACCUGAAGGCAAUCAUCAAGCCACAGUAUGUCGACCAUAUUCCAAAAGCUGUUCAAGGAAAUGUAGGGCAAGUACUUGAGCAGAAAGAUGAGCGGGAUAUGAAAAAUGAGCUGUGCGUUGACCUUGAAUUGAACCAAGUUAUUGACAGAAAUGUAGGAGAUCUGUCUGGUGGCGAGCUUCAGAGAUUUGCAAUAGCAGUUGUUGCUGUACAAAGUGCGGAAAUUUACAUGUUUGAUGAGCCAUCAAGUUAUUUGGACGUUAAACAGAGGCUUAAGGCUGCCCGAGUCAUUAGGUCUUUGCUUAGAUCAAACAGCUAUGUCAUUGUUGUCGAACAUGACUUGAGUGUCUUAGAUUACUUGUCCGACUUUAUUUGCUGCUUAUAUGGGAAGCCAGGUGCUUACGGUGUAGUUACGUUACCAUUUUCUGUCCGAGAAGGUAUCAAUAUUUUCCUGGCUGGAUUUGUUCCAACAGAAAACCUUCGGUUUCGAGAUGAAUCUCUUACAUUUAAGAUUGCGGAGACCCAGGAAAGCGCAGAGGAAGUUGCUACGUACCAGCGGUACAAGUACCCUACCAUGAGCAAAACACAGGGAAAUUUCAAGCUCUCUGUUGUUGAGGGUGAAUUCACUGAUUCUCAGAUUGUUGUGAUGCUUGGUGAGAACGGCACAGGGAAAACUACAUUCAUCAGAAUGCUGGCCGGGUUGUUGAAGCCAGAUACCAUGGAAGGAACCGAGGUUGAAAUUCCUGAAUUCAAUGUGUCCUACAAGCCUCAAAAGAUCAGCCCAAAAUUCCAGCAUCCAGUGAGGCACUUGCUUCAUUCGAAAAUACGCGAUUCAUAUACUCAUCCUCAGUUUGUAUCUGAUGUUAUGAAACCACUACAAAUUGAGCAACUCAUGGACCAGGAAGUUAUUAAUUUAUCAGGUGGAGAGCUCCAGAGAGUAGCAUUAUGUUUGUGCCUUGGAAAGCCUGCAGAUAUUUAUUUAAUUGAUGAGCCAAGUGCAUAUCUCGAUUCAGAGCAGCGUAUUGUUGCCUCGAAGGUUAUCAAAAGAUUCAUCCUUCAUGCAAAGAAAACUGCAUUUAUUGUGGAGCAUGAUUUCAUUAUGGCAACCUACUUAGCGGACAAGGUUAUUGUUUAUGAGGGACUUGCUUCUAUUGACUGUACUGCCAAUGCACCACAGUCUUUGGUAUCUGGGAUGAAUAAAUUCUUAUCGCAUCUUGACAUUACAUUUAGAAGAGACCCGACCAACUACAGGCCACGAAUCAACAAACUGGAAUCUACUAAGGACAGAGAACAAAAGAAUGCAGGGUCCUACUACUACCUAGAUGACUAG